rnacentral:rRNA from 1 species
GACGAACGCUGGCGGCGUGCUUAACACAUGCAAGUCGAGCGGUAAGGCCCUUUCGGGGGUACACGAGCGGCGAACGGGUGAGUAACACGUGGGUGACCUGCCCUCAGCUCUGGGAUAAGCCUGGGAAACCGGGUCUAAUACUGGAUAUGACUCCAUGACGCAUGUUGUGGGGUGGAAAGCCUUGUGCGGCUGAGGAUGGGCCCGCGGCCUAUCAGCUUGUUGGUGGGGUGAUGCCUACCAAGGCGACGACGGGUAGCCGGCCUGAGAGGGCGACCGGCCACACUGGGACUGAGACACGGCCCAGACUCCUACGGGAGGCAGCAGUGGGGAAUCUUGCGCAAUGGGCGAAAGCCUGACGCAGCGACGCCGCGUGAGGGAUGACGGCCUGGUGUAAC